CAGUAGCCGCGGGAAUACAGAGGGUGCGAGCGUUAAUCGGAUUUACUGGGCGUAAAGCGUGCGUAGGUGGUGGUUUAAGUCCGUUGUGAAAGCCCUGGGCUCAACCUGGGAAUUGCAGUGGAUACUGGGUCACUAGAGUGUGGUAGAGGAUAGUGGAAUUUCCGGUGUAGCAGUGAAAUGCGUAGAGAUCGGAAGGAACAUCUGUGGCGAAGGCGACUAUCUGGGCCAACACUGACACUGAGGCACGAAAGCGUGGGGAGCAAACAGGAUUAGAUACCCCAGUAGUCCCUGUCUCUUAUAC
rnacentral:rRNA from 1 species